rfam:Ascaris suum AG00038, whole genome shotgun sequence.
AAGGCCGAUGAGGUAGUUUAUAAAGCUGCGAGUGUGUUUUCCUUCGCAGAUUUUAGGCUAUCUCGACAGCCUU